rnacentral:rRNA from 1 species
ACGUAGGGGGCAAGCGUUGUCCGGAAUUACUGGGUGUAAAGGGUGCGUAGGUGGAUUUUUAAGUCAGAGGUGAAAUCUCACAGCUUAACUAUUAAACUGCUUUUGAUACUGCAAGUCUAGAGUGUAGAAGAGAAAGGUGGAAUGCCUGGUGUAGCGGUGAAAUGCGUAGAUAUCAGAAGGAACACCAGUGGCGAAGGCAGUUAUCUGGACUAUAACUGACACUGAGGCACGAAAGCGUGGGGAGCAAACAG